UACUGGCUGUGGUCUGAUGCUUCUGUGUGUGAUCUGUUCCCUUCGAAGGUGUGCUGGGCCUGAUUGCUGGAGGAAUGACAUUGCUUCUUCCUGAGACCAAGGGGGCUGCUCUGCCCGAAACCAUUGAGGAUGCUGAGAACUUCCAGAGGAAAGCAAAGCCCAAAGAAAACACAAUUUAUCUCCAGGUCCAGAUAUCGGAAGGUGCGGGUACCUGAGAGCUGCUUUACUUGGAGCUGACCAGAAGAGAUGAAGAGGAAUUUAUCAUUCAAACAAAAUUCCAGAAAUCUGUGCUUUUCUGUAUUUUUUCUUAUACUCC
rnacentral:lncRNA from 1 species